rnacentral:ncRNA from 1 species
AAAUCAAUUUUUUCUUGACUUACACAUGCAAGUCUCCGCACACCCGUGAAAAUGCCCCUUCACCCACCUAGGAAUAAGGAGCUGAUAUCAGGCACAAAAUUGCCCAAAACAUCUAGCCACGCCACACCCAUAAGGGUAUACAGCAGUGAUUAACAUUAAAAAUUAACGUCAGUUUGAUUUAGCCAAUGAAAAUAGAGCCGGCAAAUCUGGUGCCAGCCGCCGCGGUUACACCACGUGGCUCAAAUUGAUUUUAGCACGGCGUAAAGCGUGAUUAAAGAAAUAUAGAUUACUGGGGCCAAACUUUAACUAAGCUGUAGCACGCUUGUUCUUAAGAAGUCCUUAUUUCGAAAGAUACCCCAGCCCACCAACUUGAAUUCACAACAGCUAGAAAACAAACUGGGAUUAGAUACCCCACUAUGCCUAGUCGUAAACUUUAACUUACACCACAUCGCCCGGGAACUACGAGCUAAGCUUAAAACCCAAAGGACUUGACGGUACCCCACAUCCCCCUAGAGGAGCCUGUCCUAUAACCGAUACUCCACGUUCAACCUCACCAUUUUUAGCUAAUCAGCCUGUAUACUUCCGUCGUCAGCUUACCGCGUGAGCGAACAAGUAAGCUCAAUGUCAUCCACCAAUACGUCAGGUCAAAGUGCAGCAAAUAAAAUGGCAAGAGAUGGGCUACACUUUCUACUCUAGAACACACGAAAGACUAUGUGAAACCAUAUUCAGAAGGCGGAUUUAGCAGUAAGAAGAAAAUAGAAUACUCUUCUUAACCUGGCACUGGGGUGUGUACACACCGCCCGUCACCCUCUUCAAUAAACCCACUCUAGUAUUUAACAACCAACUCCAUAAUAGAAGAGGCAAGUCGUAACAUGGUAAGUAUAC